UAAACCGCUGACGUCACAAUGAUGCGCACGGGUGGACCGUUCUAUUCUGUUGGCCGUGGGCCAGCCAUAUCGACUCAGCACUUUCGCGAGCAAGGCGCAGCACAUCCGACCAGCGCGAAGGUUCACUACUCACUACUACUUCAUUCCUUUUUCAUUUUCUGUUCUUGUUAUUCCUCCAUGUCUGUCUUUCUCUCUUUGUCUUCUCUUUCGUCUUGUUCUUCAGCCAGGGCGGGGUUGCCAAACACUGUCCUCCACCGCCACCACAUACAGCAGCACCACACAACACCUCAGGGGAAGUGGAUCUUCAUGUGCCUGGCAAUACUCCGUUUGGUUUUGAAAUGUUUUAGACAAACAUCACACUUGAACUCUCUCAGAUCAGAGUGUGUGACAACGUGGUUGUUCAACUCAGCCUUAGAAAAGAAACUUCUGUCACACUCAAGGCAUUGAUGAGGUCUUUCACCAGUGUGUGUAAGUAUGUGUCUAUUUAGUUCACCCUUCACACCGAACCUUCUGUUACACUCAGGGCAUUCAUGAGGUCUUUCACCAGUGUGUGUAAGGGUGUGUGUGUUAAGGUGACUCUUCCUACUGAACACUUUGCCACACUCUUGGCAUUCAUGAGGUCUUUCACCAGUGUGUGUAAGGGUGUGUCUGUUAAGGUGACUCUUCCUACUGAACACUUUGCCACACUCUUGGCAUUCAUGAGGUCUUUCACCAGUGUGUGUAAGGGUGUGUCUGUUAAGUUGACUCUUCCUACUGAACACUUUGCCACACUCUUGGCAUUCAUGAGGUCUUUCACCAGUGUGUGUAAGGGUGUGUGUGUUAAGGUUACCCUUCCUACUGAACACUUUGCCACACACUAGGCAUUCAUGAGGUCUUUCACCAGUGUGUGUAAGGGUGUGUGUGUUAAGGUUACCCUUCCUACUGAACACUUUGCCACACACUAGGCAUUCAUGAGGUCUUUCACCAGUGUGUGUAAGGGUAUGUCUAAUCAGGUCACUCUUCUGACCAAACACUUUGCCACACUCUUGGCAUUCAUGAGGUCUUCCACCAGAGUAUGUGGGUGUGUUUGUUGAGGUCACCCUUCCCAGGGAGUCUUUUCCCACACUCUUGGCACUCAUGCUUCCCUUCAGCAGUGUGUGCAAGGAUAUGUCUGGUGACCUUGCUCUCGGUCUCAAAUCUUCUCUCACUCAAACUCGACCGUUCCUUUAUGGCUGGAGAUGCUAGUUGCAAAGUGGUGGUGGUGGUGGUGGUUCUCCUGACCACCCCUGAUCAGAGCAUGCAAGGUGCUGUUCAAAGUUAUGGCAUUAAUUUUUUUUCUUUGGCACAAAAUAUGAUGAAGGAAUUGCACUGUACUGUAGUGCAUGGUCUAGCACUGAUCCUCACAGCAGUGGCAGGCUGCUCCUGCUGGUCCUGGCCCCUCAGGCUGCUGCCCGGCCCUGCAGCCUCCACUGCAACAUAAGUUCGCGGCAGUGAGGACGCAGCACGGCACCCGCCUCAGACUCUCGCUGCUGCACCAGCACCAGGGGUGGCUGUUGGGACAAAGAUCACAGCCUCAUAGAAACAUGCUUCAAACUGAAUACCAAAAGCAUCUACAAAUUCCAUAAAAUGUAGCAGAGCACAACACAGUUACUGGUUUUCAACCCCAAUAUUGUGACAACUGCAUCAAAGAAACUGAGGCAAAAUAGACCCAGAGCAGUGAACUAGCUGCCCCUGACAACCUGGAGGCAACCAUGCAGCAGGCAGCUGAAAAGCACCUUGUGGAUAUGGGAAGAGGAAAACAGAGACAGAACAAUG